rnacentral:rRNA from 1 species
UAAAAGAAAGUAGAUAAGGGCGUACGGGGAAUGCCUAGGCUCUCAGAGGCGAUGAAAGACGUGAUAAGCUGCGAUAAGCUACGGGGAAGUGCAAAUAACUAUUAAUCCGUAGAUUUCUGAAUGGGGCAACCCACUAUGUUGAAGACAUAGUAUCUAGCAAUAGAGGCAAACCCGGGGAACUGAAACAUCUAAG